AAAUCAUAAAUAAUAUUCAACAUUAAACUGGUACACAAUUAAAAACAUUUUAUUUAGGCCUAUCUAUGGCCUUCAAAAAGUUGACGACUCUGCAUGUUUUGACAUUACAACGUCAUCCUGAGGAUAUAGAUAGGCUUAAAU